rnacentral:tRNA from 1 species
GCUUCCUUAGCUCAGUUGGUAGAGCAACUGACUCUUAAUCAGUGGGUCCAGAGUUCGAGUCUCUGAGGGAGCACCA